ensembl:lncRNA
AUAAUUGCUUGCAGAUCUUGGUCUACCAUUACUGUUGUUAUUCUGUUUUCCGAUUAAACUUCUGAAGCAGAGAAAAUAGGCGGAAAGGUACUUGAAGAUAAUAGUUUGGCUUUUGGUGACAUCGUCUUGACUUUGUAUAUGUCCUUAACGUGCACAGCCUAGAGAAGUGGAGCAUUGCUGGCUUAGGGACCUGGUCUCCUCGUUGCAAGAAUUUCUGAGGCUCUUCUGGAAUCAGGUGGGAGCCAAACUGAGGGUGYGUUAUUCCUUAAAACAAGCAUGGGAACUUUUAAGGAGGCACCACGGAAGGCCUGAUCCAGUUCUUGAGGAAAACAAUGGGAGUCUGAUUGGAGCCAUAGAAAGUCAUGAAGGGAAUUUCAAGGGAUAAAAGUGUGGAGCCAGACAUUCAAAAACAGCUUUUUAAAUAUGUGUUGCUGACCUUUCUUAUGGCUUGCAAAUGCAGUCUGAUUGCCCAAAGUGAGGUUAUUUUAGGGGGAAGGCACRAAAUUUGGACCAGAUACACUAAUGCUCAGAAAGAACCAGUGGACUUGCUUGGGAGCACAAGAGUGUGAGCUGGGCCAUGGAGAGCAGCUUGGAUUCAGCUCUCACCUCUGCCUGGGUUUCUCCUUGUUCAUGUGAUCAAACAUAGAGUGUGAUAAGAAGGGGCCAGACUGGAGAGCAGAUCCACCACUUACYCCUGCAAGGUAGUUUGGAAACUGAACUGAACAAAGGAAAGCAGUGACUCAGGUGUUGGGCUGAGUGGUCUGAAUGUAAGCUCUUAUUGCUGUGAUGGUCUUAGCGAGAAGACUCUGACCCAAGAAGAAGGAAAGAAAUCAACAUACUGGUUUUCAUUCAUGCUCAGAGAAGAAAUCUUCACUAAAUUUGACCGAACUGACCAGCCAGUCAGGCCCAGGGACAUAGGAUAAUCAGUGAGGUCAGUAUCUCUUAAGAUUUGAUGGCAAGGAUGUGGUCAUGUUGAAGAGACCUUGUACUGUAACAGAGACCGGAGGAAAGCCCUUUCAUCAGAAAACCUGCAAACAGGAGGGAGUCAACAGCUUAAGAUCUCUCUUUUGGUCCCAUACACAAGAAUCAAGAGCCUGCUGUGGUUGCUAUUUCAGCUGUUCAUUAAAGUUAUAUUGCUUCCUUUAUCUCUUGUGCUCAUGGAAUACAAGCACCUCCAUAAUGAGCUUAAAUUACCACGAGCUAAGAAUAGAAAACUCGAUUUCAGUUCUUGGGAGGCUGAGGCUGUGGUGGUGCAUGGGUAAUCAAGCAAUAUUAGCUGUAUAAUGGUGCUAGGAUCCCAGGGCAGGGCUGCUGGAAUGUUUAUGGCAGGAGAGCACAGUAAAUAUCCGAUUUCUGGGCUUUCUGGGUUUCUUCUUUUUCUCUCCUCUCCUGCUUCCUUAUACAUUUUGAAAUAAACACUGGCGUUCACUCUCUAUAUUAAUAUCC